UAAUACGGAGGGUGCAAGCGUUAUCCGGAUUCACUGGGUUUAAAGGGUGCGUAGGUGGGUGUAUAAGUCAGUGGUGAAAUCCCCGAGCUUAACUUGGGAACUGCCGUUGAUACUAUACAUCUUGAAUAUCGUAGAGGUAAGCGGAAUAUGUCAUGUAGCGGUGAAAUGCUUAGAGAUGACAUAGAACACCAAUUGCGAAGGCAGCUUGCUAUGCGAUUAUUGACACUGAGGCACGAAAGCGUGGGUAGCAAACAGGAUUAGAUACCCUGGUAGUCCACGCCCUAAACUAUGGAUACUCGACAUACGCGAUACACUGUGUGUGUCUGAGCGAAAGCAUUAAGUAUCCCACCUGGGAAGUACGACCGCAAGGUUGAAACUCAAAUGAAUUGACGG
rnacentral:rRNA from 1 species